CGCACCUUGCACCUUUUGGUAUUCCAAAAGGUACACCUGUUUGAGUGUUUUGUUUUAACUCAUUAUCGGUUUAAGUAACAUUAAACCGUGUGAUGGAUGUUGAGCGCUGCCGUUGUCGGCUCGCUUGAAAUAUAUGAGCUCUUUUGUCAAAGAUUGAACUUGGUGUGAUAUUUUGUCUUCAUCAAAACAAUAUCUAACAACAAAAGACUUUAUAGAAAGACCUCUUUGUGUGAGCGUGUGCUUAACCGUACUCUCGCGCGCAAGAUAACACGUCCUUUAGACCUCAAAUCAGGUGGGAUUACCCGCUGAACUUAA
rnacentral:misc_RNA from 1 species